CAUCGAAGGAGCAACGUGGCCAGAGCCUUCUGCUAUUUAUUUACCUGCUCUGCUCCUCUAAUUGGCUGUGUUGGAACCACAUCCUUCUGAACAAGUGCGAAAGAGCCCACCUCUGAACUCCA